UGAGCAAUCUGCCCUUCACAUCGGAAUAACCAUUGGAAACGAUGGCUAAUACCGAAUAUGACUUCGGAUCGCAUGAUCUGAAGUGGAAAGCUCCGGCGGUGAAGGAUGAGCUCGCGGCCUAUCAGCUUGUUGGUGAGGUAAUAGCUCACCAAGGCGAUGGACGGGUAGCCGGCCUGAGAGGGUGACCGGCCACACUGGGACUGAGACACGGCAGA
rnacentral:rRNA from 1 species